rnacentral:rRNA from 1 species
GGGUAUCGCUGGUUGGCUACGUACGGAAGGGAUAACCGCUGAAAGCAUCUAAGCGGGAAGCCUGUUUUAAGAUGAGGUUUCGUUAAGGUCCCCUAAAGACGAUAGGGUAGAUAGGCCAGACCUGGAAGCACUGUAAGGUGUGAAGGCUACUGGUACUAAUUGACCACAACAAACACCAA